AUUGAACGCUGGCGGCAGGCCUAACACAUGCAAGUCGAGCGGAUGAAGGGAGCUUGCUCCUGGAUUCAGCGGCGGACGGGUGAGUAAUGCCUAGGAAUCUGCCUGGUAGUGGGGGAUAACGUCCGGAAACGGGCGCUAAUACCGCAUACGUCCUGAGGGAGAAAGUGGGGGAUCUUCGGACCUCACGCUAACAGAUGAGCCUAGGUCGGAUUAGCUCGUUGGUGGGGUAAAGGCCUACCAAGGCGACGAUCCGUAACUGGUCUGAGAGGAUGAUCAGUCACACUGGAACUGAGACACGGUCCAGACUCCUACGGGAGGCACCCGUGGGGAAUAUUGGACAAUGGGCGAAAGCCUGAUCCAGCCAUGCCGCGUGUGUGAAGAAGGUCUUCGGAUUGUAAAGCACUUUAAGUUGGGAGGAAGGGCAGUAAGUUAAUACCUUGCUGUUUUGACGUUACCAACAGAAUAAGCACCGGCUAACUUCGUG
rnacentral:rRNA from 1 species